GACGAACGCUGGCGGCGUGCUUAACACAUGCAAGUCGAACGGAAAGGCCCUACUUUCGCUUUCCUCGAGUUACGAACGGGUGUGUAACACGUGGGUGAUCUGCCCUGCACUUCGGGAUAAGCCGGGGAAACUGGGUCUAAUACCGGAUAUGACCUUCCAUGAAGUGAGUUGUGUGGUAAGAUUUAUCGGUGUGGGAUGAGCCCGCGGCCUAUCAGCUGGUUGGUGGGGUAAUGGCCUACCAAGGCGUCGACGGCUAGCCGGCCUGAGAGGGUAGACGGCCACAUUGGCCCUCGGGUGCGACCCGUACUGCUUCGGCAGGCAGCGGUGGGAGAUAGUGCGCGCUGGGCGGAAGCAGUAUGGAGGGUCGCCGGGUGGUAAAUGACUGUUUUCGGGUUGUAACCCUCUUUCGAGAGGAACGAACCCUCUGUGACGGUACCUGAAUAAAAAGCACCGGCUAACUACGUG
rnacentral:rRNA from 1 species